rnacentral:lncRNA from 1 species
UCUCAAAUUCUCAUCCCAUAUCUGAAAUUUCUCUCAUCUUAACGCCAAAUAUUCACCAAGUUUUCAAAAAGAUCCUAUAAAUUAUAUCAAUUUCUCUAUUGUUUUUCAAAGUUGCAGCAGAUGAUUUUCAAAAUCAGCCAUUGCUGAUCCAAGCUAGGGUAAAUUUCAGAUUCCUGAUCAUGGUUUUAGUUUAUUUGAGUCUUUAAUUCGAGUUUAACUUAAGUUUAAAUGGAUUUAUCAUAUAUCCGCUAAUUUUGUUCGAAAUGACCUUGAAAAUUGCAAAUCUCGUAUCUCUUUACUAAAUCUCUAAUUUAAAGUAUUUUUCAACUAAAUUUUACUAGAUUAAGAGGGUUUAUUCUUAAAUCAAUAGAUCAUGAAGGAUUUUUAAGAAAUCUAAUAACAAAGUUGAGUUUAAAGCUUGUUAAUGGAGGAUUUUUUUCGGAAAAGUGCAACUUCGAAUUUCUUAAGUCUAAAUUAGUUUAGAUCGAUUCUUUAAAGUAUAAUUAAGUGUUUAGAAUAAUUAUUGAAUGGUUAGAAUAGAUCCAGAUUGAGAAAUCUAAAUUUUGGUUAGUUUCGGCUAAGUUUUUUAUUUGAAAAAUAGAGACUGUAGUAUGUGGUUUUGUUUGAAUUUUUGGUGCUUUCAGAUGUGCUUUAACAUAUAUGUAUGUUAUAUGUGGUGUGGUUGAAUUGUCAGAUCCAUUGGUGCAUUCAUCAAGCAAGUCAAGAGGCAAGGAGAAAUUGAUUAGAAGCGUCAAUGUGAGUGUUCUGGUGUUUGGCUUCUAGUAAGUGUGAUUUCAGAUGUUAAUCAAAGGCUUAGGAGGUCUUAAAUGAGAUUAAAGGCUUUGGUGUAAGUUUUUUUUACCUUUUCUUGUGUUGAGUAAAGUAUGCCUAUGUGAUGCUUUGUUGAUGAUGUGUAAGUGUGUAAACUUGUAAGUAAAUGUGAUUUAAUAUAUGUAUAUGUGAUGUGAGUUGCCAUUUUUAUGCACAUGUAUGCAAGUCUAAGUGUGUGAGGAUUUAUGAGCAUUGUGAAAGUGUUGUAAACACCUAUAUGUGUGAGCAUGCAAAGUGAAUGUGUAAAGUAUUUGUGAAAAUUUGAAAUGGUUGUAUAAUGGGCAUAAAACAAUAAUAAACCAUGUGUUAUUAUGGUGUAUUGGUUUUUUGAUCACUUGGAACUAUUGGAUACAUUUUACAUGUCAUAGGAUUGUGAGUACGCACCACUAUCUGUUAUUCACUGGGACACCGUGGUGUGUUUGGAGAGUGUUAGCCAUGAGCUACACUUAUGGAAUAGUGUAUGGCUAUUGAGUCUUUGGUGUGUUUGGAGAUCCGAGUAUCCAAUGUUCAUGUAAGCAUAUAUGUG